UACCAUGCUGUUUUGGCUACUGUAGCUUUGUAGUAAGUUGAAUUUUUUGUUUUAUUUUGUUUUGUUUUGUUUUUUUGCAGGCCAAAUACCUAGUUUAUUUCAGCAUCAGCAAUAUCUUAGCCAUGAAAAAAUAAACUCUACCGUGGAUGAUGGAAGUCUCUACAGCGAGGCUAAGGGCUCACCACCGGGCAGCGGGCACUGCGGGGGCGGGCCGCGCUCUCCAGGCAAUACGUUAUGAAGCAGUGGGGCUGGGGUGGCACCGGGCCUCACCUCUGGGUGGGCAUCAGGCCGCCGGUGGCCUGGCCCUGCUCCAGCCUCUGUGCAUCUUGAUGAGCAGGUUCACCCCGUACAUAGUGGAUAGUUUUGAGAACAGUUACAUUUACAUGUGCUGGACUAUAGAGAGCCACAUCUGGACCUAAAUUAGAAGAAUUUGAAUAGCUCACAACCGAAGGAAAGCUCGCCCACACGCUGCAGCAAGCAUGACAUGACCUGACCCACUUCCGUUUGGGAGAAGGGAGGGAAUGCCUUAGUCUGAGGGUCUCCAGAAGCAUACCCCGUGUAGCAGUUUAACAUUAUUGAUGAACUCCAAAAAGAAAUACUGGAUUAUGCUUGUAAUCUGAUCUGUACCUGAGCAUGAUUGAGUUAUGAUUAGGGUAUUGAGUCCCCACCUCUUUGUGGGUGGGGACUCCCAGAUAAAAGGCAUGGCGAAGGACAGAGCUGAGGGUUUUCUGAUGUUGGAGUUUUGAUGUUGGAGUGCGAUGCAGAAGACUUAAGCUGGAGCCCUGGGAAGUCUGCAUGCAGAGGAAAGAGAAGCCAGCCCCAGGAAGGAAGGAACCUUGAACCCAGAGAAAAGCAAACCCCAGGAACAUAGGAGCCCAGGAAGCUGAGCCCUCAUAGACGUCAGCAGCCAUCUUGCUCCAAAUAGACUUUGGUGAGGGAAGGAACUUAUGCUUUAUGGCCUCGUAUCUGUAAGCCCCUACCCCAAAUAAAUACCCU
rnacentral:lncRNA from 1 species